rnacentral:tRNA from 1 species
AGUUAAAUAAGCAAUGGCUAAGCCUAAUGUCUUGAAAACAUUAAGAAAGAAGUUCAACUCUUCUAUUAACUU